rnacentral:lncRNA from 1 species
GGUGAAUCGUUGCUCUGCGAUACAGACAGUUUUCUCGUUAAGAAGACAACGAUGAAGGCAAUAAUAAAGGACGGUGUCAUCCACUCACCCUAUCCAGACGUCCACGUUCCAUCGAGCUCCCUGUUCGGCCUCCUUGCGGAGCGAAUGCUGAAAAGCGGAAGCAAGGCAGCGAUUCUGUACCGUGAAAAGCC